GAGGCCAGUCUAGAUCUCUAGUUCCGAUCAGAGCCGCCAUGGCUCCACCCUAGCUCCACCGCUCUCAGUAUUUGAUAGGUAACCCCCGUCUUCCUUUUCUUAGUUGAAGCCUCUGUACUGAACUGAAUUAUCAGCUGUUUUGGUAUCUAUGAGGUGUGGAGUACUGUGUCUUCGUCGAUUUUGGGCAUAUGCAUGAGAUUUAGGGAUCUACAACAACAAGUUUUGGAGAGGAAGAGAGCUGCUGAUUUGGUCAUGCAGGGAAUUAAUCAUGGUAAGGCUUAGAGCAUGUUCGAUUUUGAUUCCAGUUGGGGUUAGAGAUUGGCUACUAAUACUUUGGUGCCUUAGGUGUUGAAAUGGUUGUUGUGGGGAAUGGCAGUAAAGAGGAAUUGAAGUUUGGGUUGGAACAUAAUUGAUUUCCCUUGUAAAAUGCAUCUCAUACAUGUCCAAGACUUGAGACCAAAAUGACAUGUCCAGGACUUCCGAAGACCAGGUUAGAUGAUUCAUAUGUACAUGUUGGUAUUGGUAUCAAUUCCAACUUCCAAGUUCAGAAGAUUUACUUCAAUAAGUUGUUAUCAUUACUCUACAUGUUCUCUAUGAACUAAUUUUUAUAUAUGUCAUCUUAG
rnacentral:lncRNA from 1 species